AUCUGCCUUAGAAACUGUUAAUGAGUAGAAACUACUCAUUACCUAUACUAAAGCGCUAGCUCCCCGUGAACAGAAACUCUCAAAUUGAUUUACUUUUUUGCCCCUCAUUGUUUCUUUAUUACAAUGCUGCCAUUCGACUUUCAUAGAGUGAGAGAGACUGGGAGAUAGAUAGAGGUCUUUUGGGUCUUCCGCGAGAGACAUGCACCGAAAGAACUCAAAGAAGAAGAGGGAAAUUCACAUCACUAGACUGAUCGGAGAGAGAAGGAGAAGCAUCUUUUUGAUAGUACAAAUAUAAGAGAAGAAGAAAAGGGAGACGAAAAUCGAAGGAAAGCAGAGGCAGAGAUUGAAGGAAUUCAGUAGAUACUUUUGAAGAUCAAACGUGAAAGAAGAAAAGAAAACAAAGCUUUGACUAUGGAAUUGUUGGCUGUGGCAUAUUCGUCCCGUGCAGCCAAAAUUGAGGAGAUUAUAUAUAGGCUGGACCUGCUGGAAUUUUCAGCCACACAUAAGUAUUCUCUUGCAUCUAAUUCCACUUGCAAUGUGGAAGAGGCUGGUGAUCUGUACAAGGCAGAAAUGGAGGAAUAUAUGCAUAGAUUUGAUAAUGGAAGAAUUAGACAAAGAGAAAUAUAACUAAUGCAUGCACCCUAUCAGUGAAGUUGAUUCCACAGUAGCAUCCUUCUCUGGAGGAGCAAUUGGACUGAUCUUAGCACUGACAGUGGUUGAGAACACAUUUUGGUCAAUUUGUUUUGACAUUGACAAAAUAUGAUAGGGAAAUUAUGUUAAAAAGAAAAAUGAGAGUAUAGAGGGAUAAAUACAUGGCCUAAUGCAAAUCCUGUGCAAGUAUGGAGUGAGUUGAUAUCCGACAUUGAAUUUUUUUUUUCCAAAGGUCAACAAGGAUGGUGAAGAGUAUGGUGGAGGCUGAGAUUUAAAAGAUUUCGUAAAUUUCAUCAAUGAGAAAUGUGGGACUAGCAGAGAUGCGAAAGGACAACUUACUUCCAAAGUUAGUACCAUUUUAAACCAAUGAACAUAUCUCAUCAGUUUCCUUACCAAUUGUCUUCUCUUAAGCAUGUACGUUAGAAUAGUCUUAAGUUUGGAUGAGUUGGUGAAGAAGUUUGUGAACCGGCUUUUAUGAUAUGUAAAACGAUAGCAUAUUCGGCAAGCAUUAUAAGAUUGUAAUUUCUACUCUAUCACCUAUAAAAACACAAAUCCGCAGCAUCGCUCAGGCGAACUUUCUAGUUUA